UACGGAGGGUGCAAGCGUUAUCCGGAUUCACUGGGUUUAAAGGGUGUGUAGGCGGGCUGUUAGGUCAGUGGUGAAAUCUCCGGGCUCAACCCGGAAACUGCCAUUGAUACUAUCAGUCUUGAAUCUUGUUGAGGUAGGCGGAAUAUAUCAUGUAGCGGUGAAAUGCUUAGAUAUGAUAUAGAACACCGAUUGCGAAGGCAGCUUACUAAACAAGCAUUGACGCUGAGGCACGAAAGCGUGGGGAUCAAACAGG
rnacentral:rRNA from 1 species